CCACCACUACCAUAAUUCCAAGUGCCGCUACCAUAAGCUCCAGUGCUACCACCGUCAAAAGUGUUUCCACCAGAAUAGCCAACAUUUUGACCAACAUAAUCGCCACGACUAGGGUUACCACCUCCAUAAUUCUCACCAGGACCACCAUAACUACCUCCAUAAUUAUUGUCAUAGCCUCCUCCACCACCAGUACCAUAGCCUCCACCUCGAGCACCAUAGCCUCCACCGCCUGCACCAUAGCCUCCACCUCCUGUGCCAUAGCCUCCACCACCAUA
rnacentral:misc_RNA from 1 species